UACUGUAACAGUUCAGUGUGUUAUAGUGUCUCUAGGAGGUGAACUACUGUAACAGUUCAGUGUGUUAUAGUGUCUCUUGGAGGUGAACUACUGUAACAGUUCAGUGUGUUAUAGUGUCUCUAGGAGAUGUACUACUGUAACAGUUCAGUGUGUUCUAGUGUCUCUCUCUAUGUAGUGAACUACUGUAACAGUUCAGUGUGUUCUAGUGUCUCUCUCUAUGUAAUGUACUACUGUAACAGUUCAGUGUGUUCUAGUGUCUCUCUCUAUGUAGUGAACUACUGUAACAGUUCAGUGUGUUCUAGUGUCUCUCUCUAUGUGGUGAACUACUAUAACAGUUCAGUGUGUUAGUGUUUAUCUAGGAGGUGAACUACUGUAACAGCUCAGUGUGUUAUAGUGUCACUAGGAGGUGAACUACUGUAACAGUUCAGUUUGUUAAAGUGUCUCUUUCUAGGAGUUGAACUGCAGUAAUAGUUCAGUGUGUUAUAGUGUCUCUAGGAGGUGAACUACUGCAACAGUUCAGUGUGUUAUUGUGUCACUUGGAGGUGAACUACUGUAACAGUUCAGUGUGUUGCCGUGUAACUAGGAGGUGAACUACUGUAACAGUUCAGUGUGUAAU
rnacentral:lncRNA from 1 species